rnacentral:rRNA from 1 species
AGCGAACGCUGGCGGCAGGCCUAACACAUGCAAGUCGAACGGACCCUUCGGGGUUAGUGGCGGACGGGUGAGUAACACGUGGGAACGUGCCUUUAGGUUCGGAAUAGCUCCUGGAAACGGGUGGUAAUGCCGAAUGUGCCCUUCGGGGAAAGAUUUAUCGCCUUUAGAGCGGCCCGCGUCUGAUUAGCUUGUUGGUGGGGUAAUGGCCCACCAAGGCUACGAUCAGUAGCUGGUCUGAGAGGAUGACCAGCCACAUUGGGACUGAGACACGGCCCAAACUCCUACGGGAGGCAGCUGUGGGGAAUCUUGCGCAAUGGGCGAAAGCCUGACGCAGCCAUGCCGCGUGUAUGAUGAAGGUCUUAGGAUUGUAAAAUACUUUCACCGGUGAAGAUAAUGACUGUAGCCGGAGAAGAAGCCCCGGCUAACUUCGUGCCAGCAGCCGCGGUAAUACGAAGGGGGCUAGCGUUGCUCGGAAUUACUGGGCGUAAAGGGAGCGUAGGCGGACAUUUAAGUC